rnacentral:rRNA from 1 species
CUUGAAUAACUAUAAGAGGUCCAGCCUGCCCAGUGACUUUGUUCAACGGCCGCGGUAUCCUAACCGUGCGAAGGUAGCGUAAUCACUUGUCUUUUAAAUGGGGACUUGUAUGAAUGGCAUCACGAGGGUUAUACUGUCUCCUUUUUCUAAUCAGUGAAACUAAUCUUCCCGUGAAGAAGCGGGAAUAAACAUAUAAGACGAGAAGACCCUAUGGAGCUUUAAACUCAAUAACAAAUACUAACCUUACAUUAACCUUCAGAAUAUUAACCUUAAUUUUAGUAUUAUGAUUAUUAGUUUUAGGUUGGGGUGACCGCGGAGUAAAAAUUAACCUCCACAUUGAACGGGACCUAUCCCUGAGCCAAGAACUACAGCUCAAAGCACCAACAAAUUGACAUUAAUUGACCCAAUAUUUUGAUCAACGAAC